rnacentral:pre_miRNA from 1 species
GUACUACUCCCUUCGUCUGGAAAUACUUGUCAUCAAAAUGAAUAAAAGAGGGUAUAUAUAGAUGUAUUUUAGUUAUAGAUACAUCCCCUUUUGUCUAUUUUGAUGACAAGUAUUUUUGGACCGAGUGUUCU